rnacentral:rRNA from 1 species
GACGAACGCUGGCGGCGUGCUUAACACAUGCAAGUCGAACGGGCCCGCUCUCUUUUUUGGGGGUGGGUUGAGUGGCGAACGGGUGAGUAUCACGUGAGUAACCUGCCCCCUGCUCCUGGAUAACUGCUUGAAAGGGCGGCUAAUACGGGGUGUGCCGGCUGGUCCGCAUGGGCCUGGUCGGGAUAGUUUCAUCUUCGGGUGUUUCGGUGGGGGAUGGGCUCGCGGCCUAUCAGCUUGUUGGUGGGGUGAUGGCCCACCAAGGCGGUGGCGGGUAGCCGGCAUGAGAGGGUGCGCGGCCACACUGGGACUGAGACACGGCCCAGAGUCCUGCGGGAGGCAGCAGUGGGGGGUAUUGCACAAUGGGCGGAAGCCUGAUGCAGCGACGUCGCGUGAGGGAUGGAGGCCUUCGGGUUGUGAACCUCUUUCUCCGGUGGUGAAGGCCCUGUCCGUUGCGGCGGGGUUGACGGUAGCCGGGUAUGAAGCGCCGGCUAACUACGUG